rnacentral:rRNA from 1 species
AGAGUUUGAUCCUGGCUCAGAUUGAACGCUGGCGGCAGGCCUAACACAUGCAAGUCGAGCGGAUGAGAGGAGCUUGCUCCUGGAUUCAGCGGCGGACGGGUGAGUAAUGCCUAGGAAUCUGCCUGGUAGUGGGGGACAACGUUUCGAAAGGAACGCUAAUACCGCAUACGUCCUACGGGAGAAAGCAGGGGACCUUCGGGCCUUGCGCUAUCAGAUGAGCCUAGGUCGGAUUAGCUAGUUGGUGAGGUAAUGGCUCACCAAGGCGACGAUCCGUAACUGGUCUGAGAGGAUGAUCAGUCACACUGGAACUGAGACACGGUCCAGACUCCUACGGGAGGCAGCAGUGGGGAAUAUUGGACAAUGGGCGAAAGCCUGAUCCAGCCAUGCCGCGUGUGUGAAGAAGGUCUUCGGAUUGUAAAGCACUUUAAGUUGGGAGGAAGGGCAGUAACUUAAUACGUUGCUGUUUUGACGUACCGACAGAAUAAGCCCCG